rnacentral:rRNA from 1 species
CCAGCAGCCGCGGUAAUUCCAGCUCCAAUAGCGUAUAUUAAAGUUGUUGCGGUUAAAAAGCUCGUAGUUGGAUUUCUGCUGAAGACAACCGGUCUGCCCUCUGGGUGAGCAUCUGGUUUGGAUUCGGCAUCAUCUUUGAGAACGUAGCUGCACUUGACUGUGUGGUGCGGUAUCUUAGACUUUUACUUUGAGGAAAUCAGAGUGCUUCAAGCAGGCAAAUGCCUUGGAUACAUUAGCAUGGAAUAAUAUUUUAGGACCUUGGUUCUAUUUUGUUGGUUUCUAGAAUUGAGGUAACGUUUAAUAGGGAUAAUUGGGGGCAUUCGUAUUUAACUGUCAGAGGUGAAAUUCUUGGAUUUGUUAAAGACGGACCAAUGCGAAAGCAUUUGCCAAGGAUGUUUUCUUUGAUCAAGAACGAAAGU